CCCUAAACUCACUUAUUUGAGUGGUGGUUUGCUUUAUAGUUCCAACUGAUCACAAAAGAACAGCCUUCCUCUAAUUUAAUUUUUAAAUAAUCUGCAAGGAUUAUAAUCUCCCCAGUUCAAGGGGUGAAGUGCUGUUUGUCUCUGUGCUCUUUUCCUCUUCUACAAAGACAUCUUGGAAGAACUAUAAGGACCACUUACUAUCUUGUAACCUAAUAUACAUGUCUUUGGGAUUUCCUAGCAAGGAUGGAAAGAACAAAACCAAAUUAAGCAUGCUAAACUCAAUCUGCAUAACCACAUCCCCCUGGAUGUACUGUUCAGUAGUGUGCAUACUGAGGUGUGCCAGGGCUUUCAUCAAGAAUAGAACAGAAAUCCCAGAGAAAAACAUGGUCACAGAAGAAGGUAGCACAUUUGUCCUUGCAUGUACGUGUGAAAAUGCUUAGACAUAUUUUCUUCUUUAUUCAAGGUCUCCUGAGAUGGAUGACUUCAGAAAUACUGCACUGAGGUUGAUUUUACCUAGAAGAGGCAUCAAAGCCUCAGAAAUGCCUCAUUAGUGGAUAUUAUAGAGGUCUUUAUAUACACUCCUAUGUGUCCAGGAACUUUUGAAGCUGCUGGCAGAUUACAUCCACAUUAGACAGGAGGUUUAGGAUUGCGAGGCGAAGCAGAACGCAAGGAAAUCCAGUCGGGUGCAAAGUUUUGGAUUUGUCGCAGCAUUUUGGCUCUACCGAGACUUCUCGCCCAGGUCUGUGAAACCUGGCAGAAGCAGUUGCUGCUGAAGGCCUCCAGAGGGAGAUCCCGCCCCUCGAAAGCCGGGUGCCUGAGCACAGCUCUUUAAUUCCACGUCUCUGAAGGCGUCGUGAAGCCGGAUGAGCAGGGAUUGUGAAGAGCAGAAAACAACAAAGAUGCUCCUGCCCAAGCAUCCUCAGGGACCAGCAUAAGCGAGGCCAAUGGCUGGUUUGUGCCAGGGCAGUACCAGCACCAAAGGGCUCCCUCAGAGGCCUGUGAGAGCUGAUCAAUUCCCACUGAAUUCUUGGAGGCGGUGAGGCCCUGGCACAACUUUCCAGAGCAGCGUUGUCACAGGAGGUCAUGUGUGUCCCUCUAUUUGUCCUUUGGCACUGGGGAGCUGAAGUACCUCCUGGGACUGGCUGAGAGGAUUCCCUGACCUGUAUGCCCUGAAGGAUGCAGCAUGCCAACAGGUCAACUUUUGUUGGAUUUCAGAACAAUUUCUGUUUGAGAUUUCUGUAGAAAAAUACAUAAUGUAUGCGUAACUUUGCAAGUAUAUCAGAAAAGUAUUCCUCAGUCAUGAGGAGCUGGUGACUUCAUGUCAGUGUGCUGAUUUGAUUAAAAAUAGUUUUUGUUUGUCUGGUAGAACAACACAUAAGGCAGCAUAUGACACUAAACACAGAAAUAGAAUUUUGAAUUAUCAAGUCAAAAUAACAUAGAAAACCUGCUGAAUUCACACGCACAAUAAAGAACAUGAAGCUUGGUAUAUAAUUCUAAAAUUGUGCUUGAAAAUAGAAAACAUUUUAAGAAAUUCCCAUUUAGUGAAAAAUAUUAUUUUUUCAAUAUUUUUACCAUAGAACAUGUUUUAUAUGAACAUCGCCCAAAAAAUCACAACUAUGAUCUUAUGGUAAGAAUACAAAUCCUCGAAACAGGACUUUUCCAAUCCCUGCAAGGGCUGGACAUGUCAAGUAUGUUCUCCAUGAGUUAUUCUGUUUUACUAGUUUUACCUCUGCUCAUCUGGUUUUAGACAAAGUCACAUUUAUGUGAAUUCCUUAAGUAGUCCAUCUCACAUCCUUCCUUACCUGUUUUUUUCCCUUUAUUUGCCAUUCCCCACUUUUAUGUCAGCCAGGUGGCAGAUGUGUUUGGAUUCAUGCACCACAGAACAGUAAUGAAGCUGCGGCUCCUCGCUUUGAUACUCCCUUUUUUUUCUGAGUAUUUGAUCCCUUACUCAUGCUGACAGUCAAGACUGGUCUGAGUCACACUCUUACAGGAUCUUUCUUGAAGAUUUUGGUAUUACUACAAGAUCUGUCACAGUGUGAGACGUAGCGUAUCGUUUUCCUGUCUAGAAAUGACUUUCCAGAAAGCUGUGCCCCUGAUCCUGUGUGUACAAACACACAUCAGGAUGUCAGUCCUUCAGUAUCCCCCAAAACUACUAUACAUAUAUCUCACACAUGAAACAUGUUUAUAAGUUGCUGAGUACUGCAGAUGCAUAUACUAAGAUGAUUUUAAUAUGAUCAAAUAAGUAACUUAAUGUAAUCUGACUUUGGUUUAAUAUGAUGAAGACAAAUAGAUGAAGAAGAUUCAUUUAUUCCUGAGCUCUUGAAAAUUGUUCCCAGCAGGUAUGAAUGAGUUCAGAGUGUGUGUCUGCUCCAGAUAUUUUAUGGGAUGGAAGGGGAAGUGAAGUACAGUAAAAGAGGAUUGAAGUGCACUGGGGAGCGUCUGCAGCUGGCAGCAUUUGGCCUUGGGAGCAUUCAGUAAUAUGUUUCAUUGCUUAGGGAAAAAUGAACUCCAGUCCUUCUCUUCGUUUACUGGUGAACAGAGGCUCAAUAAACACCACAAUAUCCUGGAGGGAAGUCCAGGAAGAAAAGCUGACCUAUGAAGUACAGUUAAGGAUGUGAUUUUCAUUGUCAAAGGAUGGAGAAAGCACUGGAUAUCUUUGAUUAAAAAUAUGCAGUAUUUCUGCCUUGAAAAAUAGUCUACCUGCACAAAGUAUUUAUUUUGUGGCUUUUGCUUGUAACUGAGUCAGUUAUGGCAAUGAUCAUUAAGAAUUGAAAAUAUCUUCCUUUCAGAGUCAAUGAAGCUUUGAACUUUACCCACUGGAGAAAGGGAGAUAUUUCAAUCUGCUGGAAACACGUUGGAUUCUUUCUGAAAACCCUACAGCAUCCUUAAAGGGCCCACGUCUGCUGCUUGUGAUUGUGCCUUACAUAUCCUCUCCAGUUCUCAAAUCUUUAUGUUCAGGUGGAGAUGGGACUCAAGUGCAGCAAAUGCACGGGCUGCUUUACUGAAGCUGUUAGGUACAAAGAGAGCAAAAAUUUGGCUGAAUUGCAUGGAUGAAAACAGAAGCUUAUCACUGUCUUAGUCCAAGUUAGGCAAUCACAAAGCGCAUUAUACAUUCAUGAAAACAGCAUGUAAUUGGUCACCCAUCUUCAUAGGGGAGGUGCUCCAGCCCCUGAUCAACUUUGUGGCCCUCCUGUGGACCCUCUCCAACAGCUCCCUGUCUUUCUCACAUUGGGGGCUCCAGACCUGGAAACACUCCUUGAGCUGAAAAAGUGUAGUUGUCUGUUACUUCGUAAGAAAACAGAAAACUGAAAUCCAUUCCAGUUUGUAUCCAUGAGUCUCCAUUGACCAUUUCACUUUUUGCUGGCCACCCUCCAUUACUUCCUGCCAUGAAUGAUACAAGCCAAGCAUUACAGCUGAGUGAAACAGAAAAAGAGGAAAGUGAGAAAAGUGGAGCCUGUGAAUAGGAAACUAAAAAGCAGUGGCCUGAAUGUGUAAGCUUCAAUUAGUGAAACCUCAGCCAGUGACCUGGAGCUCAUCCUGACAAACUUCACACAGGGAACGCAGGGCAACUCAGCGGCCAUAAACAGUGUUGCACUGCAGGGUGCUGACAUUUUGCUCAUAAGGAGCACUGUCCUGGGCUUUGGUGAGCAAGGUACCCUACUGCAGAGCCCAAUGGAGUUGAAUUGUACACACUGCUUCCAGCACCAAGCUGGCGCAGCAGGCAAGGCUGUGCAAUUGCUGGGCUGUUCAGCAGCCUCCAUCCCCCUGCUGCACACUUACCUACAUGAGGACAUACCUCAAGGAGCUCUUCUGAAACUCCUUCCCUGACCUCAGUCCCAGAAAUGUGAUGAUGAACACAGUCAUUUGUUCUCUGGGUGCAGUUUAUGAUUGAUACAGAAGACAAAUCGAAGCAAACUAAUCCACCUAUCCAGCAUGGAUAAUAAAAAUACGUAAGGGCUGAUGCGUUGAAUCAGGCCAGAGGUCCUUCUGGUUCAUCAGCCUCUGCCUGACCUUGGCCAAAGCAAGGUUCCUUGCUUGGGUAGCAGCAAGGAAGCUGACAGGAAUUCUUCCCCAUCCACCUCCUAUCCUUACUGGUGUGCAGCUGAGCUGCCCAGAGGAGGUACCUUUCUGUUUCGUAGCACUGGCACCAGUUUUCUUCCAUGAAUCUUACUGCUUUCUGGACUUGUACAUACUUUUGCUGUCUAAAACAGCCUGUGGAAGAAUUUCACCACAUUUUACCUUGGAAGCUUGCUUAGUUUCUAUUUUUUCCUCAACUUUUUUAAACUUCGUUUUCUUCAUUGUAAGCCUCAUAUUUGUAUUAUCUCAGACCAGAGAGCUAAUGCAGCAAAAAGUUUCGGGGUUCAAUCUAAAGUAUGUGGAGAGGGACUGAGAGGCUGAACAAGCAAAUAAAAAUUAGGGGAGGUGUAAACAAUAAAGAAGCUAAAGACUUUUGUGCAGUAGUAAGAAAGGACGUAAUGGGAGAAACUGGGGGAGAAAUUUGUUGUGCUGUGAAAGAAAAUGUUUUCUAACACUGCAAUGUAUUUCCAUCAGAAACAAUAAGAAGCGAUAUGGAUGCGUCCAGAACACUUAUGGAAGUGGGUGGAGAUCACUCUGCAGUGACAUUCAGCAGCCACCAGAUGCUUUCUGUCUUUGCAGUGAGGCGUUUGCUUUCCUCCGCACAUGGGAACCAAGCUGUUUAUCUCAUGGCCACAUCCCUGCUCUUGAGCCCUGGCAUCUGACCUGAUUCACAUUUUGCUCCAUGGAUCGCACAAAGUUUUUGUCAUUAGAUGUUAGAGGAGGAAGUUAUAAAAUCCAGGUACCAGCUUGUCUGUUUUAUCUCACAGCAUCCAGUGAAGACACAGCUAGGGUAGGAAACAGGAGUAAAAUUUUCCAGUCGGGAGCUGCAGAGCAUUAGCAGAAUCUCAUUGCAGGCAGGCAGCUGUCCUUCCCUGCGUCCCCACAUCCUCCCAGCCCCUGGGCACUUGUGGCAGUGGUGUGGAAGCACCCUGGUAGGGCUGCCGCUCCCUCAUUGCAGGAUUUUGCACCUCCCCAUAAUGCACAGACUGAGGCGGGAGAGCAGUCAGGAUCUGCGUCUGCGCGGAUGUGCUGCUCAUUACAGCACCCACAAUUUCUGGAGCUCAAAUGCCCAGACUGGAAAUUGAAAUAAGUUGAUAAAAAUAAACAGGGCAGGGAGAACUCAGUGCAUUAGUUCUAAUCCCAAUGAUAGCGUGGCAUGGCCUCGUUUAAUGCUGGGAUCUGGCAGAGGUAGCUGAUAAGGAGCGAGCGGUGACAGAUGCCAGUUGGCACCACAGAAGGAAGCUUGGUUUUAUAGCCCACACUGUGAGAUAAUAAUGGAUACAAAAGAGGACACACAGACCAAAUUGUGUGCUCUGAUGGAAAAGCUUCUUAAAAGUCAGUCUCACCGAAUGGAAGCAGGGGUUUCGUGUGCCGCAGUGUAGUGACCGUGCUGAACAGAACACAUGUACCACUGCUGGGGUGGUGGCCAUACACUUUUCUGAAGGUUCCUUUAUGCAUCCUCUUCUUUAAGAGCAGUUCAACAAAAGAGAGCUGAAAAAAAAGGAAUGUGAGCUUACUUAACUUCUACAUGCACCACUUUAUCAGUCCAUGAGAAAGACAAGUUCAGUGAUGUAUUUGUUCUGAGAACAAAUAACUGGGAGAAAUUAAAUGUCACACACAUCUGGGUUUUUAUUUCUGCAUUAUCAGAGUGAACAGGGAAAAAUUUCAAAGAUUUUGUUAUUCAGCUUGCAGAGAAUGAGGCAGAUAGCUUUGUUCCAGCCACUGGGCACAUUCCAGUGCAGCACUCUGGUGCAAGGUGGGCCCAGGUCCUUUGUGGAGAUUGCUGGGAGGCACUGAUAGUGAGAUGUGGGGCACAGCUCACGUGUGAGAUUCAUUGCUACAACAUAUUGCUAAGAGGAAUGCAUCAUUAGGAUUGCCAUAGAUAUAAAAGCAUCUAUAUAAAUGAAUUGCUGUAAGAUGUUGGGCAAAUGGUUUCAUCUUCUCACAAUGGUUCAAAAUGAGGAUGAUUAUACUUACCCUACUGAGUAAAAUAAUUAGAGAUCUAAACAUAGAAAGCACAGUGUGUUCCUAAUGUGAUUAAGACAGAUAACAGGGAAGGAAAAUAAAUGGCUAUGUCAGCUCUCACUGUGAUGGUGGGGUUGCUGGAAUGUCUGUGCAGCAUCUAGGUGUGGUGUGAGAUGAAGAUGACUCCAAGCUCCAUGGCUGCUCCCUUUCUCCUUCACCAGCACUGGUUUGUCUAUCAGUGGUUGUUCAGGUGUAACUAAAUAAGAGUGGUGUCUUCCUCAUUUUGUCUGCUUGCUAACUCUGGGAUAAGUUGGACAUCUUCAUCUUUUGAUCUGCUGUUCUUCAGUGGACACAUGCACUGCUAUGAAGACACAGUUUAUCACUUAUACCAAAAAUAAGAUGUGAGGGGGAUAUUUGAUAGGUUUUACAUCAGUGGUAAGUGUAGGGAUGGCACAUAGGGAUGAAGUUUAGAAUGAAAUUCAUAGUUUGGUCUUUGAAUAGUCUUCCAAAUACUGUGCAGUGCCAAUACAGUCCAUGUUAGAUGAAUGUGUUUGCACCUAACUCCUACCUGCACCUGACACUAAUCAAGUAUGCAGCAGGGACACUUCAGUGCACUUUUGCUGCUGAAGAUUGAGUACAGCCCAAUGAGGCCUUGUAGCAGAGCUCAAGUAGAAAAGCAGAGAUGAAAAGGUAGCCUAAACCUUCUGCAGUUGCAAGCUGAAACACAAUACUCUCCGUGUUUUUCUUUGUUUCACUGCUCCAGACUGAAACAGAUUAAAUCAAAGUCUAUUAUUUCUCUAUGCAGUGAGCAGCAUACUGAUCUCAAAAACUCCAAAAACAGCAGUAGCUUCAGAUCUUCUUGGUUUAACUCUGACUUCUCAAUUUUUGAAUUCCUUUUCCAAGACCUAAGUGUAAAAUUUUGUAAUUAAUGACAUUUUUUAUUUUAAUUCAUGUAAUUUGCUUGUAAUCGAUGUGAUGCCACCUAAUGAAAACCUGAAGGUAGGGUCUUAACUUGGAAGUCAUUAGUAGUACAGCUAUAUUAUAGCUUUUGUCGGAAAAGUGCUGGUGAUGUGUAUCUGGUUUACGCAGAUAAAAAUUUUUCUGUUUUCUUUAGUUUCAGCGAUGUGUCAGGAGAUUUGUUUUUGGAGGGUUCUUGGUAGCUGAAAUCCCUUUUUUUUUGUUUUUGUUUUUGUUUUACUGAAGGCAAACAAUAAUCCCCCUACAAUGCAUUGCCUGUCAUGUUCAAUUGCUUAAUUAAGUUACUGUGGUGAACUCAUUAGGACUAUAACAGUUUAAAUCUAUUAUCCAUAGCCAGCCAAACAUUAGCAAUAAGAUGUUAGUGCCUUAUUCUGCAGUCUGGAUUCUGUCUUUCUGCUGGAAGGCAGAAACUAAGCUUACAAUGAAAAUAUUGGCUCCUUCCUACAGCCCAGGGCCAGUGUCCUCCCAGUGUCUGUCCUUGCUUAAGUCUUUAAUAGUAACUGAUUAAAAAUAAACUAAGAAAUAGCAAACAGUUCACCAAUAAACUGCAUAUUGUUGUGCAUGUCAACAGUUUGUGGUGAAGGACUCCACCAGCUCCCUGGGCAGCCCAUCCCAGCACCUGACCACUCUUUCAGAUAAGUUUUUCCUGAUGUCCAGCCUGAAUCUUCUCUGGCACAAUUUGAGGCAAUUCCCUCUCUUCAUAGAAUCAUAGAAUCACAGAAUCAAAGUAUGGUUUGGGUUGGAUCAUGGAUCCAAGG